rnacentral:tRNA from 1 species
GGUCGAGUACCCAAGCGGUUUAAGGGAGGAGCCUGCAAAGCUUUUAUUCGUGGGUUCAAAUCCCACCUCGACCU